rnacentral:lncRNA from 1 species
AGGAUCUACACACGAGGUGUAGAAAGAGGAGUAUAGGAGUCAUACCUGCCAUAACCUGACCUUGGACUCCGUCGUCGGGGUGAAGCUCGCUUAUUGGAUGGUGGCCGACUUGAUUCGGCUGGAGCUCCUCCCUUCUUCUGUUUCUUCUUCUUCUAACUUUUGCCUUCUGUCUGGUGCCGAUCAGAAGCUCCUUCGUCUGCGCGUACAUAUUUGUAUGCACGCUCCAAAAGUUUGAUAUAAGUCCAAAGAAGAAUUUUAUUCAAAGAAUAUGUGAAUCGAGAUCCCCUCAGACCUCUUUUCAUGGUCGAGAUAGUCAUGUUUUCAUUAGGUC